GCCGGGGUGGCGGAACGGGAGACGCCAUCGAUUCAAAAUCGAUUGUCCGAAAGGGCGUGCGGGUUCGAGUCCCGCCCCCGGCA
rnacentral:tRNA from 1 species